GACGAACGCUGGCGGCGUGCCUAAUACAUGCAAGUUGAGCGCUGAAGGUUGGUACUUGUACCAACUGGAUGAGCAGCGAACGGGUGAGUAACGCGUGGGGAAUCUGCCUUUGAGCGGGGGACAACAUUUGGAAACGAAUGCUAAUACCGCAUAAAAACUUUAAACACAAGUUUUAAGUUUGAAAGAUGCAAUUGCAUCACUCAAAGAUGAUCCCGCGUUGUAUUAGCUAGUUGGUGAGGUAAAGGCUCACCAAGGCGAUGAUACCUAGCCGACCUGAGAGGGUGAUCGGCCACAUUGGGACUGAGACACGGCCCAAACUCCUACGGGAGGCAGCAGUAGGGAAUCUUCGGCAAUGGACGAAAGUCUGACCGAGCAACGCCGCGUGAGUGAAGAAGGGUUUCGGAUCGUAAAACUCUGUUGGUAGAGAAGAACGUUGGUGAGAGUGGAAAGCUCAUCAAGUGACGGUAACUACCCAGAAAGGGACGGCUAACUACGUG
rnacentral:rRNA from 1 species